rnacentral:tRNA from 14 species
UCAGUUGGUAGAGCGUCAGCCUUCCAAGCUGAAUGUCGCCGGUUCGAACCCGGUCUCC